rnacentral:rRNA from 1 species
UGGAUCCAGACUUUGAUUAUGGCUCAGGACGAACGCUGGCGGCACGCUUAACACAUGCAAGUCGAACGGAGAAUAUCGAAGCUUGCUUUGAUAUUCUUAGUGGCGGACGGGUGAGUAACACGUGAGUAACCUGCCUCUGAGAGUGGGAUAGCUUCUGGAAACGGAUGGUAAUACCGCAUGAAAUCAUAGUAUCGCAUGGUACAAUGAUCAAAGAUUUAUCGCUCAGAGAUGGACUCGCGUCUGAUUAGCUAGUUGGUAAGGUAACGGCUUACCAAGGCGACGAUCAGUAGCCGGACUGAGAGGUUGAUCGGCCACAUUGGGACUGAGACACGGCCCAGACUCCUACGGGAGGCAGCAGUGGGGAAUAUUGCACAAUGGGGGAAACCCUGAUGCAGCGAUGCCGCGUGGAGGAAGAAGGUUUUCGGAUUGUAAGCUCCUGUUGAAGAGGACGAUAAUGACGGUACUCUUUUAGAAAGCUCCGGCUAACUACGUGCCAGCAGCCGCGGUAAUACGUAGGGAGCGAGCGUUGUCCGGAAUUACUGGGUGUAAAGGGAGCGUAGGCGGGACGGCAAGUCAGAUGUGAAAACUAUGGGCUCAACCCAUAGACUGCAUUUGAAACUGUUGUUCUUGAGUGAGGUAGAGGUAAGCGGAAUUCCUGGUGUAGCGGUGAAAUGCGUAGAGAUCAGGAGGAACAUCGGUGGCGAAGGCGGCUUACUGGGCCUUUACUGACGCUGAGGCUCGAAAGCGUGGGGAGCAAACAGGAUUAGAUACCCUGGUAGUCCACGCCGUAAACGAUGAUUACUAGGUGUGGGGGGACUGACCCCUUCCGUGCCGCAGUUAACACAAUAAGUAAUCCACCUGGGGAGUACGGCCGCAAGGUUGCAACUCAAAUGAAUUGACGGA